rnacentral:rRNA from 1 species
UUCAAUGACAAUCAUAUAGGGCGAAUGAAUUUCCCGGCCGCGUAUUCGCCUUAGAGUUGAUCCUGGCUCCGACGAAGUUGGCGGCGUGCUUAACACAUGCAAGUCGAACGGAGUUCCNUCGGAUCAAGACUUCGGUCAAGUGAACUGGAACUUAGUGGCGGACUGGUGAGUAACGCGUGAGGAACCUGCCUUUCAGAGGGGGACAACAGUUGGAAACGACUGCUAAUACCGCAUGAUGCAUCUGGGUCGCAUGGCCUGGAUGCCAAAGAUUUUAUCGCUGAAAGAUGGCCUCGCGUCUGAUUAGCUAGUUGGUGAGGUAACGGCCCACCAAGGCGACGAUCAGUAGCCGGACUGAGAGGUUGACCGGCCACAUUGGGACUGAGAUACGGCCCAGACUCCUACGGGAGGCAGCAGUGGGGAAUAUUGGGCAAUGGACGCAAGUCUGACCCAGCAACGCCGCGUGAAGGAAGAAGGCUUUCGGGUUGUAAACUUCUUUUAAGGGGGAAGAGCAGAAGACGGUACCCCUUGAAUAAGCCACGGCUAACUACGUGCCAGCAGCCGCGGUAAUACGUAGGUGGCAAGCGUUGUCCGGAUUUACUGGGUGUAAAGGGCGUGUAGCCGGAGAGACAAGUCAGAUGUGAAAUCCACGGGCUUAACCCGUGAACUGCAUUUGAAACUGUUUCCCUUGAGUGUCGGAGAGGUAAUCGGAAUUCCUAGUGUAGCGGUGAAAUGCGUAGAUAUUAGGAAGAACACCGGUGGCGAAGGCGGAUUACUGGACGAUAACUGACGGUGAGGCGCGAAAGCGUGGGGGAGCAAACAGGAUUAGAUACCCUGGUAGUCCACGCUGUAAACGAUCAAUACUAGGUGUGCGGGGACUGACCCCCUGCGUGCCGCAGUUAACACAAUAAGUAUUGCGCCUGGGGAGUACGAUCGCAAGGUUGAAACUCAAAGGAAUUGACGGGGGCCCGCACAAGCGGUGGAUUAUGUGGUUUAAUUCGAAGCAACGCGAAGAACCUUACCAGGGCUUGACAUCCUACUAACGAAGUAGAGAUACAUUAGGUGCCCUUCGGGGAAAGUAGAGACAGGUGGUGCAUGGUUGUCGUCAGCUCGUGUCGUGAGAUGAAGGGUUAAGUCCCGCAACGAGCGCAACCCCUAUUGUUAGUUGCUACGCAAGAGCACUCUAGCGAGACUGCCGUUGACAAAACGGAGGAAGGUGGGGACGACGUCAAAUCAUCAUGCCCCUUAUGUCCUGGGCUACACACGUAAUACAAUGGCGGUCAACAAAGGGAUGCAAAGCCGCGAGGCAGAGCGAACCCCAAAAAGCCGUCCCAGUUCGGAUUGCAGGCUGCAACCCGCCUGCAUGAAGUCGGAAUCGCUAGUAAUCGUGGAUCAGCAUGCCACGGUGAAUACGUUCCCGGGCNCAUGUACACAGCGCCCGUCAAGGGCGAAUUCGUUUAAACGUACCACGAGGAGGCCCUUUAUGAGGUAUUUGGCUGAUCGG